rnacentral:rRNA from 1 species
GACGAACGCUGGCGGCGUGCCUAAUACAUGCAAGUAGAACGCUGAAGGAGGAGCUUGCCCUUCUGGACGAGUUGCGAACGGGUGAGUAACGCGUAGGUAACCUGCCUGUUAGCGGGGGAUAACUAUUGGAAACGAUAGCUAAUACCGCAUAACAGUAGAUGUUGCAUGACAUUUGCUUAAAAGAUGCAAUUGUACCACUACCAGAUGGAGCUUCGUUGUAUUAGCUAGUUGGUGGGGUAAAGGCUCAACAACGCGACGAUUCAUAGUCGACCUGGGAGGGGGAUCGGCCCCAAUGGGACUGAGACACGGGCCCGGCUUCUACGGGAAGGAGCAGUAGGGGAUCUUCGGGCAAGGAGGGAAGUCUGGACGGGCCAAGCCGCGGUGGUGGAGGAGGGUCUCGGGUCGGAAAGAUCUGUUGUUUGGGAAGAAAGAAUGUGGGAGUUGAAUGUUCACGUUGUGACGGUACCUUACCAGAAAGGGACGGCUAACUACGUG